GAUGAACGCUAGCUACAGGCUUAACACAUGCAAGUCGAGGGGAAACGACAUCGAAAUCUUGCUUUUGAUGGGCGUCGACCGGCGCACGGGUGAGUAACGCGUAUCCAACCUGCCCAUCACUUGUGGAUAACCUUGCGAAAGUAAGACUAAUACCCAAUGAUAUCUCUAGAAGACAUCUGAAAGAGAUUAAAGAUUUAUCGGUGAUGGAUGGGGAUGCGUCUGAUUAGCUUGUUGGCGGGGUAACGGCCCACCAAGGCAACGAUCAGUAUGGGUUCUGAGAGGAAGGUCCACCACAUGGGAACUGAGACACGGACCAAAAGCCUACGGGAGGCAGCAGUGAGGAAUAUUGGUCAAUGGGCGAGAGCAUGAACCAGCCAAGUAGCGUGCAGGAAGACGGCGCUAGGGGUUGUAAACUGCUUUUAUAAGGGAAUAAAGUGAGAGUCGUGACUCUUUUUGUAUGUACCUGAUGAAUAAGGACCGGCUAAUUACGUG
rnacentral:rRNA from 1 species